rnacentral:rRNA from 1 species
GUACUGAAACAUCCAUCUGAAGGAGGAUUUAGCAGUAAGCAGGAAAUAGAGCGUCCCGCUGAAACUGGCCCUGAAGCGCGCACACACCGCCCGUCACUCUCCCCAAAACCACCCACUCAGUUAAUUAAAACCUAAAAAUCAAAAGGGGAGGCAAGUCGUAACAUGGUAAGUGUACCGGAAGGUGCACUUGGAAAAAU